CUCCUAGCUGCUUCCCCCUCUGACGCGCGCAUGCGAGCCCCGGAACGCUGGGGCAGUUUUGUUUUUUUGGAUAGAAGCGAGCGCCUCUGCCUCUCCCGAUACCGAGUACGCCGGGCUUUGCUGGACCCGGAAGGAAGUCUUUGAAGAGUAGUUUUCAGGUAAAAUGGAGAGGAUUCAUUUGACAAAGGAGUCUUUAAUGUCCUAUCCAGCUUCCAAAACAACAGCAACAUGGAACCAAACCCAUGAAUUCAAGGAAUGAAAGCGUGAGCUGACCCCAGAGAUGUGCUGCCCACCUUCUUGGUUAAACAUACUCACUGUGAGGUCUGACAGCCUGACUUUGAAUCUGGGCCUUCCUCCAUCACAAGCUUAAAGUGGCCUGAUCUGAUGAUGUUCUGUGCAAUUGAAUAUGUUCUACACCAAGACCUAAGCCGUGAGUGCCAGAUCAGCUCCCAGAUGUCAGUGACUACUUUUCUCUUUCUCACCUCUAUAAGGUGACAAGGGCCUGUCUAAGGCCUUUUCUUAGGCACCCAGAGAGACUGAGCAAAUUCUUGGGACACUGAAGUACCUUGGAAGUGUUUGCCAUUUAAAGUUAUCUUCUGGUGGACCCUCUUGGAAUGUAGGACCCGCCCUUUGGGAGAGGUGCUGGGAGGAGCAGGACUGUCAUAUACCCCUCUCGAAGGGAUACAGCUGGCCGAACACUUCUUGGGACGAAAUUUGUCUUUUAUGCCUCAGACAAAAUCUAAGAAGCACCACAGUACCUCCAGUUUCAAAAGAUAUCAUAAUAUCUGCUUCUCCUGAGUUUAUUCUGACAAAGUUCAGAGGAACGGCACUACUCCAGGCCUGCAGGGCCAUCUCCACUGCUUUGUCCACUUCUGCAGAAGUCAUGGAAGGUGUGUAUUUGGAUAUUCUGUGAAAACAGAAGGAACAUGUUUUGCUUUCAGUAAGUGCUCCUAAGUGAAGAAAGCAAGAAUUACAUCAAGGUUGUAUUAAAAAUAAAAAUAUUGAACAUAUAUCUACAAUUUAGAUUUUUUUCUCCAAAAUAAUAAUUCUUAUUUUGCUUUCAUAUUUGUUAAAUUACUGAAACAUGUUAAACCAUAAGGAAAAUGAAGGGGAGAAAUGAAAGAGUUGAGAUAAUCUGGUGCUGAAACAGUUUGGCUUUCAUUGUUAUUAUAUAUCACUAACUUUAAUUUUUUUUUUUUUUUUUUUGCGGUACGCGGGCCUCUCGCUGUUGUGGCCUCUCCCGUCGCGGAGCACACGCUCCGAAUGCGCAGGCCCAGCGGCCAUGGCUCACGGGCCCAGCCGCUCCGCGGCACGUGGGAUCUUCCCGGACCGGAGCACGAACCCGUGUCCCCUGCAUCGGCAGGCGGAUUCUCAACCACUGCGCCACCAGGGAAGCCCUAUAUCACUAACUUUAAAGAACAAUACCUUGUGUAACUUUACGAGUAGCCCAAAGUCCAUUUUCCCUAAAGUGGUUUUAAUUGAGAAGGGACCUCUUUCCCCAAAAGGGGAAGUGCUAGCUCCUCACAAGGAUGCUCACUGGAACUGAAAAAGGCUUGAGUCUUUCAUCAAGUCCUGACCUGGCAAUGACAUCAGAAGGCAGAAAAGUACAGAGCAUUUUGGACAAACAAGCUGCCUGUGUGUUGGGCUGGAGAAGACAGGGAUGGAGAAGGGACAACACCAGAAAGGAAGAGCACGUGGACAGAGGUCCUGACCCAGGGUCUGGAGACUGACACAGCAGCAGUGAUGACAGCUAAUGUUCUGUAUGCCUGAAACGGAGAGGCAGGCUGACGUUCACAGCACAACCUCUGGACAACACUUACGCUCAGUUAUUUGAAGAGGAAAAAAUAACGGAAGGAGAAUAAUGUGAACAUUUUCCCCAUGGACCAUUUAUUUGUCAUUGAGGUCUUUACCAAUUUGCAAAACAAAGACUCUCCUAUUUUUCUGGAUGACGUUAAUUCUCUGAGCCAUUCUGUUUGCUCAAGCUGAUGCUGUGAUAACACUAUGCUCAUGAGAAAACAGUGGGGUUAUGGCCAUGUAUGGUGUCUAGUGAAUAACCCCAGGUACUCAACGAGAGUUUGUCACACAUGUGAACAUCAUCUCUGUUAUAUGCUGUGAGGCACACAAAACAUGAUCCUCAGAAGAAGCAAGAAAGAAAACCACAGAUCUAGUAGACUAAUUCAACUAACUGAAUUAUAAGUUCCUUGAAGAAUGAAUGAUAUAAAAGUCACUGCUACUACUACACUUUCACAGCAGCUACCACAAUUGAAGAACAAAGAAUGAGUCCUUGAAAUUUCCCUCUAUUUGAUCAUCUCAUUCCCCCUAUUUCUCCCCAAACCACUGUUGCAAUUCAUCAGGAUGGCCCCAAUGCAGGCAGGCAGUGAAGGAACGAUAGCAAGAAAUUCUGGGACCUAUAGAGAGAAAAUACUCUCACCUCCAGAACUCCAAAGAAUUUGCUAAGUCCCAUUUUUGGAAGUAGACUGAAGUAAAUAACUGCUUAUAAGGUAUGAUCUAGGUAUUUCUAGAAGAUUCCAGUAUCCACUCUUCAUUUGCGUGAAUGCAAUCAAUCCCAAUAUUCCCAAGUAUGACACUUCGAUUGUUAAGCGCAAAAACUGAAGAGGAGUAGCAAUUUAUGUUCUUAUAAGUCAUUUACACAUUAAUAUGAGGAGGUAUUACCUCAAGGCCAGUGCUAGGCAACACCCUUGACCCUUCCAAAGUGACAAACUCAAGCUGGUAAUUUCUCACUAGAUGUUUUUUUUUUUUUUUUUUGUCCUGACUUUCUCUCUUCACAGGGGAGCAAAAUUUUCCUUUCUUUCUAUCAUUCUUGUGUCAAAUCUAAACUAAAUCCAAAUCAUUCUAACCUAAAAAGAUCAUAUCAAAGCAGUUCAAUGACUAAAAGGGAAUGGAAUGAGAGCCCGUAUCAUAGAGAAAUGUGGAAAGCAUAGUAUCUGUAGAAAAAUCAGAUUAUAAAAAUAAUAUACAUGAAACAGGAGGUUGGUAGCCUCUGGGCAGUGUUGAUGUUUUGGGGUCCUGCAGACUUUGUAGAACUUUACACAGAACUAAAGUUUCCAUGUACCACUAAUGUAAGAGGAUAAGCAUUUUAAAUUACAGAAUCAAGUUUACUGCAAAGAACUGCUUUUUUCUAGACCCUAGCUGAAUUUGAUUCCAUAGGGGUUUUAGUAAAUCCUCAACAUUGAAGUUGCUGAGAUGGUGCCUGCUGUGCAUGUUAUGGAUUGAUGAAUAAUUGUUGAAUAAAUUACUGAUUGCCCAGUUGACUUA